AAGCUCGUAGUUGAAUUUCGGGGUUAGUAGGUUGGUCAUGCCUCUGGUAUGUACUGGUCUCACUGAUUCCUCCUUCCUUAUGAACCGUAAUGCCAUUAAUUUGGUGUUGCGGGGAAUUUGGACUGUUACUUUGAAAAAAUUAGAGUGUUUAAAGCAAGCUAACGCUUGAAUACAUUAGCAUGGAAUAAUGAAAUAGGACGUUCGAUCUUAUUUUGUUUGGUUUUCUUAGGAUUGACGUAAUGAUUAAUAGGAUAGUUGGG
rnacentral:rRNA from 1 species